UGACGGCGGUUCCUCCUCCUGACCACAGUCCAUCAGGAGGAUUUUACGCCGUCACAGAUCACUGAGUCUUUUUCACCCAGAGAGCUGCAGGCAGCCGCCGACACACACAGCUUCCUGGUUUUGCAGGACUCGACAAAA